rnacentral:rRNA from 1 species
UACGGAGGGUGCGAGCGUUGUCCGGAAUCACUGGGCGUAAAGGGCGCGUAGGCGGCCUGAUAAGUAGGGGGGUGAAAAUCCUGCGGCUUAACCGCAGGGCUGCCUUCUAAACUGUCAGGCUCGAGCACAGUAGAGGCAGGUGGAAUUCCCGGUGUAGCGGUGGAAUGCGUAGAGAUCGGGAAGAACAUCAGUGGCGAAGGCGGCCUGCUGGGCUGUUGCUGACGCUGAGGCGCGACAGCGUGGGGGAGCAAACAGG